GCGGCCCCGCAGCUGCGCAGGUGGAGCCCACGGGCACCAUCGCCUCCGCCGUCGCCACCAGCCCCGACCCGCACGGGGGCCGCGGGGCGCUACCCUCGGCCGGAGGGAGCCCGUCCGACCUCCUCUUCCUCGCCGGCGGCGGUCGUCCCUGCCUCUGAGACGCCGCUCCUCCCUGCCCCUCCCUCUCUCUCGACCCCUUCUUCUUCUUCUCGUAAAGUAGCAACCGCCGCCGCCGUCUGCUGACCCCCCGACCCCGACAAGCACCCGAGAGAUUAGCACCCGCCCGAGAGCAACCAUGGAGAUGAAGCUCACCAUCAGGAGGGUGCCCACCGUCGUCUCCAACUACCAGGAG
rnacentral:lncRNA from 1 species